rnacentral:lncRNA from 1 species
GCUCCUCCUCCUCUUUGUGGCUGUUAGUCUCCCAUCCUCUUUGUGGCUGUUAGUCUCCUCCUCCUCCUUUUUGUGGCUGUGAGACUCCUCCUCCUGCUCUAUGUGGCUGUGAGGCUCCUCCUCCUCUUUGUGGCUGUUAGUCUCCUCCUCCUCCUUUUUGUGGCUGUGAGGCUCCUCCUCCUCUUCUAUGUGGCUGUGAGGCUCCUCCUCCUCCUCUAUGUGGCUGUGAGGCUCCUCCUCCUCCUCUAUGUGGCUGUGAGGCUCCUCCUCCUCCUCUAUGUGGCUGUGAGGCUCCUCCUCCUCCUCUUUGUUGCUGUGAGGCUCCUCCUCCUCUUUGUGGCUGUUAGUCUCCUCCUCCUCCUUUUUGUGGCUGUGAGGCUCCUCCUCCUCUAUGUGGAUGUGAGGCUCCUCCUCCUCUUUGUGGCUGUUAGUCUCCCAUCCUCUUUGUGGCUGUUAGUCUCCUCCUCCUUUUUGUGGCUGUGAGACUCCUCCUCCUGCUCUAUGUGGCUGUGAGGCUCCUCCUCCUCUUUGUGGCUGUUAGUCUCCUCCUCCUCCUUUUUGUGGCUGUGAGGCUCCUCCUCCUCUUCUAUGUGGCUGUGAGGCUCCUCCUCCUCUUUGUGGCUGUUAGUCUCCUCCUCCUCCUUUUUGUGGCUGUGAGGCUCCUCCUCCUCUUCUAUGUGGCUGUGAGGCUCCUCCUCCUCCUCUAUGUGGCUGUGAGGCUCCUCCUCCUCCUCUUUGUUGCUGUGAGGCUCCUCCUCCUCUUUGUGGCUGUUAGUCUCCUCCUCCUCCU